GACGAACGCUGGCGGCGUGCUUAACACAUGCAAGUCGAACGGAAAGGCCCUGCUUCUGUGGGGUGCUCGAGUGGCGAACGGGUGAGUAACACGUGAGUAACCUGCCCUUGACUUUGGGAUAACUUCAGGAAACUGGGGCUAAUACCGGAUAGGAGCUCCUGCCGCAUGGUGGGGGUUGGAAAGUUUCGGCGGUUGGGGAUGGACUCGCGGCUUAUCAGCUUGUUGGUGGGGUAGUGGCUUACCAAGGCUUUGACGGGUAGCCGGCCUGAGAGGGUGACCGGCCACAUUGGGACUGAGAUACGGCCCAGACUCCUACGGGAGGCAGCAGUGGGGAAUAUUGCACAAUGGGCGGAAGCCUGAUGCAGCAACGCCGCGUGCGGGAUGACGGCCUUCGGGUUGUAAACCGCUUUCGCCUGUGACGAAGCGUGAGUGACGGUAAUGGGUAAAGAAGCACCGGCUAACUACGUG
rnacentral:rRNA from 1 species